GGCCAAAGCCAGACAACCACACACCUCCACCUCCCUGGAUCUCCUAAAGGGCCAGUGCCAGCCAGGUCUGGAAGCCAGAAGUCUGAAAUGAAGGUGUCAGCAGGCUUGGCUGUGAGGGAGAAUCAGUUCUGGGCCUCUCUCCUAGCUUCUGGUAGCCUCAGGUGUUCCUGGGUUGUAGAUGUCAUUCUCCCUGUAUCUUCACGUCAUCUCCUCGCCGCCCCAGGCAGGCUUUGGAAGGUGGCUGCUUGGAACCUGCAGGCAAGUGCCCAGGUGGGGACAGCCGACCCUUCAGAGAACCCACACUCAGGCA
rnacentral:lncRNA from 1 species